rnacentral:ncRNA from 1 species
AGCCGAUCCUAAGGGACGGGGUAACCCCGGCAGAUAGCGCGAUCACGCGCAUCCCCCGAAAGGGAAUCGGGUUAAGAUUUCCCGAGCCGGGAUGUGGCGGUUAACAGCGACGUUAGGAAGUCCGGAGACGCCGGCGGGGGCCUCGGGAAGAGUUAUCUUUUCUGCUUAACGGCCUGCCAACCCUGGAAACGGUUCAGCCGGAGGUAGGGUCCAGUGGCCGGAAGAGCACCGCACGUCGCGCGG